AUGCUCAUUCUGGCAGCAUAUAUACUAAAAUUAGAACAAUACAGAGAAGAUUAGCAUGGCCCCUGUGCAAGGGUGACAUGCAACUUCAUGAAAUGUUCCUGUGUUUU
ensembl:snRNA U6 U6 spliceosomal RNA